UGUGAUGUCAACAGAGCCAGCCGUGACAACUGCAGUAGGAAGAGAAAAGCAUUUGGAGCAAGAAGCAUCUUGCAAAGCACAAUCAAGAAGAAAGGAGUGAGAAGAAGAAUCUGGAUCAAAAGCCAUGGGUGUGGUGCAGAUCAGAGUGGAGUACUGUGGCCAAUGAGGGUAUUGGCCCCGCUACAAGAAACUUCAGCAGGCUGUCGCUGUGGAGUUUCCUGGGGCGGAGGUGUCAGGCUUUGUAGGACGAAAAGGCAGCUUUGAGUUGGAGAUCAACGGGAGCUGGUCUUCUCCAAGCUGGAUACAGGUGGCUUCCCCAUGGAACAGGAUGUCAGGGACGCUCUCCAGAACACCUAUGAUGGCAAGCAAGUGGAAAAGUGGACCAGAAAUCGCCCACCUUGUGUCAUCCUGUAGAUCUCAAUUCCCUCCAUCCUCCAACAGUUAUCACUCAGAUCAAUGCUGCUGUCUGUCACCACUCACACAGCAGAGACUCCUUUCUGUUCCUUCUCUCUCUCUGCUCCCAUUGAGGUGUUCCAGGACUUAUAUGAUUACUGUAGACCAAAGCUGAAAGGUUUAUAGUAUGAUGACCCCAGUCCUGGCAGCGCCUAUAUUAUGGGAUCAGAGAAAGGAGGACAUGGGAAGACUGAUUGGGUGGAACUUCCUUAUUCCAGAUCUUCUAUGCCUAUCUGUUUACAGCACCAUCAUCAGAUAAACGAUCAAUUUGAGUUGCUGAAGCCUGUCUCGCGUUGUGUUACUGUGUAUUGAUCUCCCAUAUUGCAACUGAUGCUUUGCAAUUAGCUUUAAGUAGAGCUGGUCAAGUGAGUAGAUGAAUCGCUAGCUAUGGUAAUAUAGGCCACCACCCACUGGUCUGUCUGCUACACUAACGAGACAUUUACAUGCCAUUUGAAUUAUCAUCGCUGAAUACUGUUAUUGAUUGCUGAUGACAAUGUUUGAUACCCACUGGGAGGACUUCAAUCUCAAAAUAAAAUAAAAUUACAUUGUUUGUUUUCUUCCUAA